rnacentral:rRNA from 1 species
UACGUAGGGCGCAAGCGUUGUCCGGAAUUAUUGGGCGUAAAGAGCUCGUAGGCGGUUUGUCGCGUCUGCCGUGAAAACCCGAGGCUUAACCUCGUGGCUUGCGGUGGAUACGGGCAGACUAGAGGUAGGUAGGGGAGAAUGGAAUUCCCGGUGUAGCGGUGAAAUGCGCAGAUAUCGGGAGGAACACCGGUGGCGAAGGCGGCAUCCUGGACCGACACUGACGCUGAGGAGCGAAAGCCAGGGGAGCAAACGGG